rnacentral:rRNA from 1 species
CCUACGGGGGGCUGCAAUUAGGAAUCUUGCGCAAUGGACGAAAGUCUGACGCAGCGACGCCGCGUGAGGGAUGACGGCCUUCGGGUUGUAAACCUCUUUUAUCAGGGAAGAAGAAUGUGACGGUACCUGAUGAAUAAGCCCCGGCUAACUACGUGCCAGCAGCCGCGGUAAUACGUAGGGGGCGAGCGUUGUCCGAAGUUACUGGGCGUAAAGCGCACGUAGGCGGUUAUCUAAGUCUGGGGUGAAAGGUUCAGUGCUUAACGCGAACAGUGCCU